rnacentral:rRNA from 1 species
AAUAGAUACCCUGGUAGUCCAUGCCGUAAACGUUGGGCGCUAGAUGUGGGGACCAUUCCACGGUUUCCGUGUCGCAGCUAACGCAUUAAGCGCCCCGCCUGGGGAGUACGGCCGCAAGGCUAAAACUCAAAGGAAUUGACGGGGGCCCGCACAAGCGGCGGAGCAUGCGGAUUAAUUCGAUGCAACGCGAAGAACCUUACCAAGGCUUGACAUAUACGAGAACGCUCUAGAAAUAGAGAACUCUUUGGACACUCGUAUACAGGUGGUGCAUGGUUGUCGUCAGCUCGUGUCGUGAGAUGUUGGGUUAAGUCCCGCAACGAGCGCAACCCUCGUUCUAUGUUGCCAGCGGUUCGGUCGGGAACUCAUAGGAGACUGCCGGGGUCAACUCGGAGGAAGGUGGGGAUGACGUCAAAUCAUCAUGCCCCUUAUGUCCUGGGCUUCACGCAUGCUACAAUGGCCGGUACAAAGGGCUGCAAUACCGUAAGGUGGAGCGAAUCCCAAAAAGCCGGUCUCAGUUCGGAUUGAGGUCUGC